UCAUGCUCUUUCCUGUCCCCCGCCUGCUACCUAGCCUCAAUUUCGUACUUGGAAAGCCCAGGGCCUGCAGCUCAGAGGUUCUGUGAGUCUGUGCUUCCUGUUGCCUUCCCUCUGUCUCAGAGGACUCCACUUAUAAAACCACUCCAUGCCAUCAAGAAAGGUAUUUUAAACAUUGGGAGACAUUUGGAUAAUUUCACAGAUGCCACUGGAUCCAUCUCAGGCUGAUCCUCGUCUACCUCAGACUCCGUUCUCCUCCUCCAGACUUCUCCAUACCAUUUUGAAAGAAAACUAAAAAUGAAAAAGAAUGGCAGAUCAAUGGAAUAGAAUAGAAGAACCAGAAAUACACCCAUACACCUAUGGAGACUUAAUUUUUAACAAAGAAGCCAAAACCAUACAAUGGGAAAAAAAUAGAAUCUUCAAUAAAUGGUGCUGGUCUAACUAGAUGUCUACAUUUAGAAAAGUGCAAAUAGAUCCAUAUUUAUCACCCUGCACAAAACUAAAGUCUUAGUGGAUCAAAGACCUCAGCAUAAAACCAGACACACUAAACUUGUUAGAAGAAAAGUGGAGAAGAGCUUUAACCUCAUUGGCACAGGAGACAAAUUCCUGAACAGAACACCAACAGCACAAGCUCUAAGAUCAACAAUCAAUAAAUGGGUCCUCAUGAAACUGAAAAGCUUCUGUAAAGCAAAGGACAUUGUUAUCAAAACAAAACAUCCAUCUACAGACUGGGAAAGGAUCUUCCCCAACCCUAUAUAUGACAGAGGACUAAUAUCCAGAAUAAAUAAAUACUCAAGAAGUGAAACUGCAACAAAUCAAACAAUCCAAUUACAAAAUGGGUACAGAGCUAAAGAGAGAAUUCUCAAUAGAGGAAUAUAGAAUGGCAGAGAAACAUUUAAAGAAAUGUUCAACAUCCUUAGCUAUCAGGGAAAUGCACAUCAAAACAACCCUAAGAUGUCGCCUUACACCCAUCAGAAUGGCUAAGAUCAAAAACUGAAGGGAUGAUGCAUUCUGGAGAAGAUGUGGAGAAGGAGAAAACCUCCUCCAUUGCUGGUGGGAAUGUAAAUUUGUACAACCACUUUGAAAACCAAUCUAGUGCUUUCUCAGAAAAUUAGGAAUAGUGCUACCUCAAGAUCCAGCAACACCACUUCUAGGCAUAUAUCCAAAAUAUGCUCAAGUAUACAACAAGCUUUAUUCAUAGUACCAGAAUCUGAAAAUAGCCCAGAUGCUCCUCAACUGAAAAAUAGAUGCAGAGGGCCUCUGAAAGAAUAUACUCACCAGGGUAUCAAAGCAGAGGCUGAGACUCAUAGCCAAAUUUUGGGCAGAGUGCAGGGAAUCUUAUGAAAGAAGGGGGAGAGAGAAAGACAUGGAGGGGACAGGAGUUCCACAAGUUGACCAACAGAACCAAAAAAUCUGUGCACAAGGGCCUUUUCUGAGACUGAUACUCCAACCAAGGACCAUGCAUGGGGAUAACCUAGAACCCCUGCACAGAUGUAGCCCAUGGCAGCUCAGUCUCCAAGUGGGUUCUCUAGUAAGGGAAACAGGGGCUGUCUCUGACAUGAAUUCAGUGGCUGGCUCUUUGAUCACCUUCCCUUGAGGGGGGCUCAGCUUUACCAGGCCAUAGCGGAAGACAAUGCAGCCAGUUCUGAUGAGAACUGAUAGGCUAGAUUCAGAUGGAGGAAGAGGACCGCGCCUAUCAGUGGACUAGGGGAGGUUCAUGGGAGGAGAAAAGGGGGAAGGUUGGAAUUGGGAAGGGAAGAGGAAGGGGGCUAAAGCUGGGAUACAAAAUUAAUAAAUUGUAAUUAAUAAAAAAAUAAUUAAUUAAAAAGAAUUCAGUAAUUUAAAAAAAGAGAAAUGCUCAAUGUCCUUAGUUAUCAGGAAAAUGCAAGUGAAAAUGACUCUGAGAUUUAACCUUAUACCCAUUAGAAUGGUUAAGAUCAAAAACUCAAGUGACAACACAUGCUGGAGAGGAUGUGGAGAAAGGGGAACUCUCCUCCAAUGCUGGUGGGAAUGUAAACUUGUACAUCCACUUUGGAAAUCAAUCUGGCACUUUCUCAGAAAAUUGGGAAUAGCACUAUCACAAGAUCCAGCUAUAACACUCCUAGGCAUAUAUCCCAAAUACACUCAAGUAUACAAGGACAUUUGCUCAACUAUGUUUGUAACAGCUUUAUUUGUAAUAACCAGAAUCUGGAAACAAUACAGAUGUCCCUCAACUGAGGAAUAGAUAUAGAAAUUGUGAUUCAUUUACACAAUAGAAUACUACUCAGCAAUUAAAAACAAGGAAAUCAUGACAUUUUCAGGCAAAUGGUGGGAAUUAAAAAAGAUCAUCUUGAGUGAGGAAACCCAGAAGCAGAAAGACACACAUGGUGUAUACUCACUUAUAAGUGGAUAUUAGACAUAUAAUAUAGGAUAAACAUACAUAAAUCUGUACACCUGAAGAAGCUAAUCAAGAAGAAGGACCCUGGGUAAGAUGCUCAAUCCUCAUUCAGAAAGGCAAACGUGAUAGACAUUGGAAGAGGGGAAAAUAGGGAACAGGAGAAGAGCCUACCACAGAGGACCUCUGUGGUAUUAAAGCAGAUUCGGAGACUCGUAGCCAAACUUUGGACAGAUUGCAGGGUAUCUUAUGAAAGAAAGGGAGACAGAAAGAUUUGGAAGGGACAGGAACUCCACAAAGUGAGCAACAGAAACUAGGUUUUCCUGGGUACAAGAAGAAUUGAAUUAACAGGCGUACCAUAACAGUGUUUUGAUUUCUCAUAAAUAUGCAGAAAUUAGAAACUCGGAGUCAUGUGUUGGCCCCACUCUAUGAGGUCACAAAAGGGUAGAUUUAGAUGUUCUGGAUUAUUCCCUCUGUUGUAUAACCGCAAAUACAUUUUUCUCAUUUGCUCCAUCAAAGAAGGCUGCCAGCAGCAGUGUCCAUAUUAAAAGGAAACCAGUGGAAGUACAUGGAAAAGAAGGGGAUAUCUUCCCUGGUUAAGAACAGGUUUCAGAAGUUGAGUAUCUGCUUUCCUCUAACAUGCUGUUUGCAAAAGCUUGGUCACGUGGCCAUGUUUAUCUACUACAGAGAAUGGCAAUACAAUCAUUUUUCAAAGUGGGAUUUGCUCAAUAAAAAAAAAUAAGUAAAUAAAUAUUUUUGUCACUGUCAGAUGAGGAAAAGUAUGUAAAGAUGUUUUCAGACUCUGAGAAUAAUCAAAGGAAUUGACAGUAUGAAAAAUAAACACUCCACAGAACAAGAACAAUGUGUAUUUAAACUAGAUCUAAUAGAAAGGUUAACAUUUUGUCUGGAAAACUAAUAAAGUUUUACACUGUAUUUUACAUUUGUAUAGUUUUUCCUUCCCUCCAUAACAUUUUGAGGUCCUUAAGUGCACAGACUAUGCAUUUUCUAUGUAACUAAUACAUAACCAUCAAUGAAAGAAUGCAUGUGAGUAAAUAGGUAUUAUAUUUGGGAAAUGAAUUGUGCAUCACAAGUUCAUUGGUUUGAAUACUUGGUCUCCAGCUAUAUAACCUUGAGGAGGUAGAGCCUUGCUGGAGGAAGAAGGUUACCUAGGAGGUGGGCUUUGAGAUUUUAGAGAGCCACCCCACUUCUUGUCCCUCUGCUAUCUGCCUGAAGACGCAAUAUGAGUAGCAGACGCCCAUCAAAGUAGACUGAGAUGCGUCCACUGCUAUGAUUAAACUGAAAUACACUGUCACUGUAAGCCAAAAUAAAUCCUUCCUCCAAUCAGUUGCCCCAAUUGUUUUUUGUCACAGUGAUUUAAAAAACAAACAAACAAACAAACAAACAAACAAAACUAAUUUCUGAGAAAGCACCAGAUUGACUUCCAAAGUGGUUGUACAAGUUCACAUUCCCACCAGCAAUGGAGGGGGGUUCCCCGUUCUCCACAACCUCUCCAGCAUGUGUCAUCCCUUAAUUUUUUUUUUUUUUAUUUUAGCUAUUCUGAUGGCUGGGAAGUAGAAUCUCAGGGUCAUUUUGAUUUGCAUUUCUCAGAAGACAAAGGACUCUGAGCAUUUCUUUAAGUGUUUCUCAGGCCAUGGAAGAAGAUGAUGCAGCCAGCCCUGAUGAGACCUGAUAGUCUAGGGUCAGAUAGAAGGAGAGAAGUUCCUCCGCUAUUAGUGGACUAGGGAAAGGGCAUAGAAGGAGAAGAGGGAGAGUAAAUGGGACUGGGAGGAGAUGAGGGAGGGUGCCACACCUGGGAUACAAAGUGAAUAAAUUGUAAUUAAUUAAUUAAUUAAAAAGGAAAGGUGGAAUUGUAAUAUUUAUUCAUAUUUUCUUCUCACUGAGUAGUUGGUGCAAUCACUAGCUAAGGAACAGUUCAACACAGUCUAGUCUGUGUCCAUUGCCUUGGUCAUGGGAUGUACAUAGUGUGUACAUGACAUUAUUUCUGAGUCUGUGGGUUUCUUGCAGGAGGUCUUCUAAGCAAAGAAUCUGACACAGAGAUAGGUAGUGAACAACCAAACCAAGACUAGGAGCCAGUUCUUCUCAUUCAUAAUCCAGCACUCCCUCUACAGCUUCAUGCAGAUUCAGCACAGUUGGAAAUGAGAGGAUGGGAAUUGAACUGGUCAUUUUGAAAACAGAAUUUCUCAACCCAUUUCCACCAAAAAAAAAAAAAAUAAAUAAAUAAAAGCAUUGAGCAGAUAGACCUAUGUUGAGUGUGAGAUUAUAGACUUAGGAACUUCCUGAGG